rnacentral:rRNA from 1 species
UACGUAGGGGGCUAGCGUUGUCCGGAUUUAUUGGGCGUAAAGAGCGUGUAGGCGGCUAUGCAGGCCCGCUGUGAAAACUCGAGGCUCAACCUCGAGACGUCGGUGGAAACCGCAUGGCUAGAGUCCGGAAGAGGAGAGUGGAAUUCCCGGUGUAGCGGUGAAAUGCGCAGAUAUCGGGAAGAACACCCGUGGCGAAGGCGGCUCUCUGGGACGGUACUGACGCUGAGACGCGAAAGCGUGGGGAGCGAACAGG